UACGUAGGGUGCGAGCGUUUGUCCGGAAUUACUGGGCGUAAAGAGCUCGUAGGUGGUUUGUCGCGUUGUCCGUGAAAACUCACAACUCAAUUGUGGGCGUGCGGGCGAUACGGGCAGACUGGAGUACUGCAGGGGAGACUGGAAUUCCUGGUGUAGCGGUGGAAUGCGCAGAUAUCAGGAGGAACACCGGUGGCGAAGGCGGGUCUCUGGGCAGUAACUGACGCUGAGGAGCGAAAGCGUGGGGAGCGAACA
rnacentral:rRNA from 1 species